ensembl:lncRNA
CUCGGACCCUCGUUGGUCUGGUUGUCUCCCCUCUACUGAUUCUGGGUGUUCAACACAGCGUCAGUCCAGCGCUGUCAUUCUGGACCCCCCUCUGUGUCAGGCAGGGAGAGUUAUAUGUUGAGCAGUAUGUCGUUGCGGUUGUACGGGUUGGUAAUGGAUGGUUUAGUGGAGCCAGGAGAGGGUUAGCGUGAGUUGACACAGAUCGGUCCUCUGAGAGUUAUGCUAACACCGGGCAGAACUGUUUGAUUGAGUCAGUCAGUAUGGUCAGUCAACAGUCGAUGAACACCACAGCCAGUGGUUACAGCCAUGUCACGGAACCCGGAGAACGCGUACGACGUCAACAUGGGGCAAGACGUCCCGGACCAGGGCAGCGGGACCAAGGCCG